AUUGAACGCUGGCGGCAGGCCUAACACAUGCAAGUCGAACGAGUGGCGGACGGGUGAGUAAUGUCUGGGAAACUGCCCGAUGGAGGGGGAUAACUACUGGAAACUGUAGCUAAUACCGCAUACCAUCGGAUGUGCCCAAAUGGGAUUAGCUAGGAGGUGGGGUAACGGCUCACCUAGGCGACGAUCCCUAGCUGGUCUGAGAGGAGGACCAGCCACACUGGAACUGCGACCCGGUCCAGACUCCUACGUGAGGCAGCAGUGGGGAAUAUUGCACAAUGGGCGCAAGCCUGAUGCAGCCAUGCCGCGUGGAUGAAGAAGGCCUUCGGGUUGUAAAGUACUUUCAGCGAGGAGGCGUUACUCGCAGAAGAAGCACCGGCUAACUCCGUGCCAGCAGCCGCGGUAAUUC
rnacentral:rRNA from 1 species